GGAUUGCAGCCUGCAACUCGGCUGCAUGAAGCUGGAAUCGCUAGUAAUCGCGGAUCAGAAUGCCGCGGUGAAUACGUUCCCGGGUCUUGUACACACCGCCCGUCACACCAUGGGAGUCGGGAAUGCCCGAAGUCAGUGACCCAACCGGAAAGGGGGGAGCUGCCGAAGGCAGGCCUGGUAACUGGGGUGAAGUCGUAACAAGGUAGC
rnacentral:rRNA from 1 species